ACGGAGGGUGCAAGCGUUGUCCGGAUUCAUUGGGUGUAAAGGGUGCGCAGGCGGGUUAAUAAGUCAGAUGUGAAAUCCCACGGCUCAACUGUGGAACUGCAUUUGAUACUGUUAGCCUUGAGUGUAGUAGAGGAGGGUGGAAUUUCUGAUGUAGCGGUGAAAUGCUUAGAUAUCACAGGGAACACCGAUGGCGAAGGCAGCUCUCAAAGCUACUACUGACGCUAAGGCACGAAAGCUUGGGGAGCAAACAG
rnacentral:rRNA from 1 species